rnacentral:RNase_P_RNA from 1 species
UGGGUCGGCGAGACGGUCGCGUCGUGCAUCGCGUGCGGUGCACGCCGAGGAACGUCCGGGCUCCGCAGGGGAGAACGGUGGGUAACACCCACCCGGGGCAACCCGCGAGAAAGUGCAACAGAGAGUAGACCGCCCGAUUCGGUUCGCCGGAUCGGGUAAGGGUGAAAGGGUGGUGUAAGAGACCACCGGCGUCCGUGGUGACACGGGCGGCCAGGUAAACCUCGUUCGGAGCAAGGCCAGACAGAAGACGUUGACGCUCCCCGCCGAGUCUUCGGGUAGGCCGCUGGAGGGUACUGGCAACAGUGCCCCGAGAGAGAUGACCGUCGCCCCGCACCCGCACGGGUCCGAGGAGACAGAACCCGGCGUAUGACCCGGCCCAUUCC